rnacentral:rRNA from 1 species
ACGGGAGGCAGCAGUGGGGAAUAUUGCACAAUGGGCGCAAGCCUGAUGCAGCGACGCCGCGUGAGUGAAGAAGUAUUUCGGUAUGUAAAGCUCUAUCAGCAGGGAAGAUAAUGACAGUACCUGACUAAGAAGCUCCGGCUAAAUACGUGCCAGCAGCCGCGGUAAUACGUAUGGAGCAAGCGUUAUCCGGAUUUACUGGGUGUAAAGGGAGCGUAGGUGGUGUGGCAAGUCAGAUGUGAAAGCCCGGGGCUUAACCUCGGGACUGCAUUUGAAACUGCCAUACUAGAGUGCAGGAGAGGUAAGUGGAAUUCCUAGUGUAGCGGUGAAAUGCGUAGAUAUUAGGAGGAACACCAGUGGCGAAGGCGGCUUACUGGACUGUAACUGACACUGAGGCUCGAAAGCGUGGGGAGCAAACAGGAUUAGAUACCCUGGUA